ACUUGCUUGGUGGGCAAACACAUUCAGAGAUUGAUGGUAACGUAGACAGUUUAUAAAAUGUUGUUUUAAAACAUAGUUUUAUAGAUAAAAAUAAGAUCAUAUAGUAUAUUCUAUCGACUAUUCUCUCUUCACGUUUAAACUGAUAACUGCUUCUAACAUAAAAAAGGACUAAUAAAAAUGUUUUAACAAAAAUGUUUCACUAUAAACAGAAAUAUUGGGGUUUUUUUUUAAAGGCAAAAGUUUUAAUGAUUUUUUCAAUUCUCAUUGCAAUACAACAUCUAUGAUGAAGUUCCUUAACAUUACAUCAAUUAUGAUGGCCCUCUGUUUUGACAUGAACUAUUGAAUGUUAGCAUUUAAUUACUAAACAGCAGAGUUGCACCCCGAUAUAAUCAUUAAAAAAAUCGUAGUAAAAGUUUGUAGCAAAAUUUUUAAUUGUUUUUGGUGGUUUGCUUCUAAUUACUUGAUGAUUAUUUAGCUGAAUGUGUAAAGAUGUACAUGAAUGUGUCGUUAAUUCUAAAAUUGAAUUAUCCAGCAUGUAACUAUUUUGUUUAAGACAAUAACUCCCAUGUAUACUAUUUUCAUUGUAAAUGUAUUUCGUUUGUAUAGAAAAAGUUCCCAAUUAUUGUUAUUUUUUUCAAAGUAUAGAACUUAAAUUAAUUUAAUAAUUAUUAAUUCUGCAAAAUUUGAAAAAAAGAAGAUACAGAUUUUUUUAAAAAGUUGUGCAGAUUUGUUAGUUCAAGGAAUAAAAUAUAAUAAGUGUCCGCUACACACUGAAAAAAAGUUCGAAGGAAUACAAAAUAUCAUCAAAUUGUUUUAAAAAGGGGAAAAUUUCGUUAAAAAAUUCAAGAUGUACCAUGUAUAAUGUCUGUAUUAACGUGUAUUUUGUCAACAGAUGACAGGUAUUGCUUUCUUAUUGAUGUUGUUUGCCGUAGCACAGGACCACCAAAUACAUGGUAAUCCUCUAAUUUCAAUAUUUUAUAAAGUUGCCAUAACUUUUACCCAAAUGCAUGGUUGAUUUUCGAUACAAACGAAAAAAAUUAUUUGUUUUCUUUUCUAUUUCUUUUUUUUUUUGGUGGCCAAAUUAUAUGAGAUAUACAUUUAAAGCAAUAAAAGCAAUUUUAAUUUUUAAUGUAAUGUCGUUUAAUUAUGAGUUUUCUUAUGAUUGUUAUCAUUUGAUACUUUUGAACAUGAUAUAUAGUCAAUGGAAGCAGACAAAGCAGUGUAGUAUACACACGAUGGGGAAGAAAAUCAUGCAGUCGUGAUGCCAAACUGGUUCAUUCUGGUAAAAUGUCAAUCCUACACUAAAUUUACGUUUGUCAUUUGAUGAGAAUCCUUUAUGCAUUAUUUAACAAGCUUUCUGGAUUGUUUCCAUUUUUCCUAUCAGAAAUACAACAGCAUGUGGGAGAAUGUUACCUUUAAGUGUUUAAUUUUGCUGCAUAGUGUCCUUAGAUGUUGAAACUAAAGAAACAUGGGUUCAAUGUUGCCAAGUUAGUUUUUUUUUAUAUUUCCGGGCAGAGAUAACAAAAAACCUAAACCAUUUUUUUUCCAGGUUAUGUUGGAGGAUCCCACUUCAACAACAGAGGAGCAGCAGUAGAACCUCUUUGUUUGCCUCGAAAUCCGCAAUGGUUAAGGUACAGGGAUGGGAUAGAAAAUGAGAGAGCUUACGUACAUGGUGCAGAGUACGAAACUCGAACUUCUUCUGGUGGCCUGAGGGGUGUUCAUGAUCAAGAUGUCCCAUGUGCUGUGUGUUUAAAACGAAAGAGAUUUGUUGUUAACAUGUUUCCAGGUAGGGAAGAAAUGUUUAGAUAUUUCUCUGCUUUAUUAUGAUCUCGUAAGUAAUAAAAACCAUCGAAACCUUUCUGCACCAUUGCAAAUAUUUUUUAUCGUUAAAUUUCACAUUAUAUUAAAUGCUUAUGCUAGGUCAAACUGAAUUUCGCUUUUUUGUAGCGCGAAAAAACUGCUACAGGGGAUGGACCUUAGAGUAUCGUGGCUACCUAAUGGCGGGUAAAUGGAGUCAUCAAGCUGCUACUUCAUACACUUGUGUUGACGCACGUCCAGAAGCUGUACAUGGAGGUCAUGAAAAUAGAAAUGGCUACCUGUUCUACCACGUAGAGGGUCUCUGUGGUUCCCUCAAGUGCCCACCAUAUGUUAAUGGGAGAGAACUUGCUUGUGUCGUUUGUUCUAAGUAAUGAACGUAAUAUGCCAUGCUAUUAUAUCAUCUAUAAAUAUAUGAAUGAAUGACUAAUCUC
rnacentral:misc_RNA from 1 species